UAUUUGAUAUGUUGGAUGUACCAGCUGGUAUACUAAUGGGGACUACAGGAAUUGUGGUAUUUGGUUACAUAUUGGAUUUGGCUGUCAGACAUUCAAUGAUCGGAUUAUGCAUAUUGUUUAAAAUGACUUUGAACUCGGUUAACUGUUAAAAGAAAAAUUAUUGUAAGCUGGUGCACAGGCAUCUACGGCAAUACUUAACAUCUAGGCAACUGAUCAUUAUACGACCAAACCGGGUACAUAUGAAUUCCUCGAUUUACCGGGCUACUCGAAUAACAAGUGUAUUAGCUAGCUCGUUCGUAUACCUUGUUAACUGCCAGCAAUAUUUCUUUACAAUCUUAACGGAACGCUAGCCCAUCACUAUUCAGGAUGUGUAUUACCAGGUAAGGAUGAUAAUAUUCUGACAUGAUACUCUUGACAUUGAGCUAGUUAUGAUACCAAGUAAUAUUUCUUUGAAGUUGUUUGGAGUUAAACCAAAUGCAGUGUAUACUAUAUGAGAUCAUAUAGAUUAGAGGAAAACUCCUCAUCAUGUUGUCAAGCUUCAAAAUAUUUGUACGAAUUGAAUAGCUAUCGAUAAUGAUGCUUGAAUGGGUGCAGAUCUUUAAUUAACUAAGAUAUUAGUUCUAGUCAUAACUAUAUUACUAUUGCUAUUCUCUACUAUUAACUGCUAAAAUUUUUUGAUGAUAAUUCAUCCUAACGCUUUUUGAUGUAAUUUUGUAUGAACGCUUGGCUUAUAGUCUUGUAAGGAACGGUAAGAGAAAAUUGUUAAUAUAAUGUGGGCUAUUGUUCUAUACCGUUAACAAUAUCGAUUCAAG